rnacentral:tRNA from 1 species
GGAAGUGUGGCCGAGCGGUUGAAGGCACCGGUCUUGAAAACCGGCGACCCGAACGGGUUCCAGAGUUCGAAUCUCUGCGCUUCCGCCA